rnacentral:rRNA from 1 species
CAGUCGAACGAGUUCUCGUUGAUGAUCGGUGCUUGCACCGAGAUUCAACAUGGAACGAGUGGCGGACGGGUGAGUAACACGUGGGUAACCUGCCCUUAAGUGGGGGAUAACAUUUGGAAACAGAUGCUAAUACCGCAUAGAUCCAAGAACCGCAUGGUUCUUGGCUGAAAGAUGGCGUAAGCUAUCGCUUUUGGAUGGACCCGCGGCGUAUUAGCUAGUUGGUGAGGUAAUGGCUCACCAAGGCGAUGAUACGUAGCCGAACUGAGAGGUUGAUCGGCCACAUUGGGACUGAGACACGGCCCAAACUCCUACGGGAGGCAGCAGUAGGGAAUCUUCCACAAUGGACGCAAGUCUGAUGGAGCAACGCCGCGUGAGUGAAGAAGGCUUUCGGGUCGUAAAACUCUGUUGUUGGAGAAGAAUGGUCGGCAGAGUAACUGUUGUCGGCGUGACGGUAUCCAACCAGAAAGCCACGGCUAACUACGUGCCAGCAGCCGCGGUAAUACGUAGGUGGCAAGCGUUAUCCGGAUUUAUUGGGCGUAAAGCGAGCGCAGGCGGUUUUCUAAGUCUGAUGUGAAAGCCCUCGGCUUAACCGAGGAAGCGCAUCGGAAACUGGGAAACUUGAGUGCAGAAGAGGACAGUGGAACUCCAUGUGUAGCGGUGAAAUGCGUAGAUAUAUGGAAGAACACCAGUGGCGAAGGCGGCUGUCUGGUCUGUAACUGACGCUGAGGCUCGAAAGCAUGGGUAGCGAACAGGAUUAGAUACCCUGGUAGUCCAUGCCGUAAACGAUGAAUGCUAGGUGUUGGAGGGUUUCCGCCCUUCAGUGCCGCAGCUAACGCAUUAAGCAUUCCGCCUGGGGAGUACGACCGCAAGGUUGAAACUCA